GUAUUCACAGGACUUCCUCUUUGUGCACAAGGAUAGGGAGAGGGAGCUCUGAUCUCUCGUCCUCUUCUCAUAACGGCACCAAUCUUAUCAGGAAGGCACCACUUUCAUGUCCUCAUCUAAUCUAAAUACCUCCCAAAGGCUCCCCUUUCAAAAACUACCAUGUUGAGGCUUAAGGCUUCAAUGUAUGAAAUUUGAGAAGAUAGAAAUCGUCCACCCAUAACAUGAGCAUAGCUUGAAUCUGCUGAACUUGUCAGGCUUGCUUUGAAAGACCGACUUUUCGCCCGUUCAUUUUCCUCUGCCGUCUCUUUCCUCUCGAACUUCUCCGACAUUGUGAUUGCAUCUCAGUCAGCGAUGGAGAUGAAUCCGAGCCCUUUAGUUACCUGUAUCGCUAUCACUUUAUCAAUUAUUUUGCAUGCUUUUCCAAAAAAAUAUGUUAUAUUAUUGUUUCUUCCUACACAUGAAGGCUAAUUCAUAAAUCUUAUUAUUUUAUUAUCUGUACAGUGUACGCUCUGAUAAUGUGUUCUUCAGCAUGCAUGCAGUUUCUUUAGUGUGCUCUUUUUUGUCAAAGUAUCUUAGCUUUACUUCACAGAAAUAAAGCUUUCUCAUUUGCUUUGCUUUCAUUUCCGUGUUUUCCUUCAUAACCUUUUCAAUUCUUUUAUGUUCAUUGUAUAACAGUAGACAAAAACAAAAGCUAAAAAUAAAAGACACUGUGGGAAAAUGCUGGAGACAAGUGCAGAAAGGUGAGGAAAAUCUCCUACUAAGGCCAACAUCAUGGUGCUUUUAUUUCCAUCAACAUCAGAACAAUUAAAGUACAUUUUAAAGGUCUCUGCAUAAUUCUGAAAUUCUUUAAGUUGUAUUGGGAAUAUAACUCAAGUUGUUUUUCCUUUUGCACAGAUUGUUUCAUCUAAAGUGUUGCAUUGAAUUUAGAGGAAAUACUUUUUUUUUCCUACAUAAAGUUUAAUUAAGAGUUUUGAGAGAAAUGUAUGUUCUAUAAAAAUUCAAGCAUGUUUUGAUAGAUUAAAAGGUUAAAUCCUACUUAUUCUUUUAAUUUUCCUAUGCUGUUAGAUCUUUGUUAAGAAUUCCCUCUCCUGAUAGAUCUCUUUUGGGUCUCUUUCCAUUAUUGACUUCUCAUAUGACAUGAUAAUUAGGUUCCUAUAUUUGUCUUACUAAUCACAAACAAAUUGAAUGCGAGGACUAGGUUAUUUUUCUUUGUAUUCUGAGUUUUCAUGAUAGCAAAUUACAGACAAUGUAUUAAUCUCAAUGUGUCUUGAACUGAAUAUAGAAUGCGUAGUAAAGUAUUGAUGACUUAUUGAUGUAGCACAACUGCCCCAGCUCUUAAUCUAUUUUAGUAAGCUUUGACAUCAGGUGGAAUUCAAAGAUUGAGAAGGAGUAUUCAAGGAGAAGUUAGAAUUGUGGGUCAUGUCAGAUAAAAAUAACCCCUAUAAAUGAGAUAGUUAUUGAAAGGUCAGCCCUAUCUCUAGUUUCAGCCUUAUAUUUUUUUCCUUAAAUGUUUCAUUUUCAUAAUAGAGGGUGCAGAUGUCAGUAAUCCCCAUUUAGUCUAACUCCAGGCACCACUAUUCAUUGUGGUUUCUGUGAACGAGAAGUAAAGUUGUGCAGAAUAGAAGCCCUGUGUGAUUAAGAAUAAUGUCUCUCACUAGUUUUAAAUUUUGUUACUGAUAUGACGAAGGGAGGCACAAACACUAAAGAGAGGCAAGAGAUAUUCACCAUAUUUUUUAAAACAAGGUCAGAUUGAAUUCAGUAUGUCAAACACUUUAAGAGAAAUUGUUACUAUAAGAGAUAAUUCAACUUCAAACAUUUAACAGUAUUCUAAUAUUUAUUUUUAUAAUCAUUGUCUGAUAUCUCUUGGGUCAAAUGUUAGUUCAAAAAAGUAGUGAUGAAAGUGGUUUAAAAAAUACUAGCUGCUGAGGCGUGGGAAGAAGCUUGACUAGACAGAGCAUGAAGUAGUGAAUAUAUAUGUCUGUUAUUAUAACAACAAACACGUCAUUACACAUUUGUCCAAACUCAAAAUAUACAACAGCAAAAGUGAACCCGACUGUAAUCUAUGGACUUUGGAUGUCCAUGUAGGUUCAUCCUUGAUUUAAAAAAAUGUACUCCUCAGAGGUGGGAUGUUGCCAAUGAGGGAGGCUGUGCAUGUGUGGGGGCAGGAGGUAUGUGAAAACUCACUGCAUCUUUCAGUUUUGCUGUGAACUUCUUUGUCUGCUCUAAAAAGAAAGCAUGUCUUUAAAACAAUAAAACAUUGUAUAACAAGUAGAGGAGAAUAUAAGAGAACAUUUAUAAUCUUCUGGUACUGAAGGUCUUCUUAAAGUAGGUCAGAAGCUCUGAAUAAAAAAGACUAACAGAGUUGACUGUGUAAAAAUUACAAACCUGUGUAAUGUCCAAAAUCCGUACUGGCAAGAUAAACAAAAUUGAAAAGAAAAAAAUUGUUAAACAUUAUUGCCCAUGCAAAAUGUACAAAAUGUCUACAUAAUUUAAAGAACAUUCUAAAAAAUAAAAUAAUUUAAAUAUUAAUAAUGAAAUAUACACCUGUGUAUUCAUAAUUCAAUUUACGGAAUAGGAAUCCUAAGACUUUUUUGGCUACAACCCAUGACAAACAAAAAUUCUUGGGUCAGAGAUUUGAACCCAUGCCAUAGCAGUGACCUGAAUCACAGCAGUGACCUUAACCUGCUAGGCCACCAGGAACUCCAGAGAUCCUAAGACUUUAAAGUUCCUGUAUAUUCCAUCCCAGUCUUAACUAGUUUUCUCCCGAGCAGAGAUAACCAUUAUCCAGAAUUUCUUUCUUUUUGUUAUAUGUUACCAAAAUGAAAUUUCCCUAUAAAUAUGUUAACUCAUUAUUUAAAACUGUUAAAUAAAUAAAAUAUUUCUAUGUAAAAAAUACUGUCUUUUUUUAUAAAAUUAUAUAUGUAUAUAUCAUAAGUGAUACAAAUUUUAGUUUCAGCCAACAAGCACAUGAAAAAAUGCCCAACAUGACUGAUUAUUAGAGAAAUGCAAAACAAAACUACCACGAGAUACCACCUCACACCAGUCAGAAUGGCCAUCUUUAAUAUGUCCACAAAUAGCAAAUGCUGGAGGGUUCAUGGAGAAAAGGGAACCCUCCUGCACUGUUGGUGGGAAUGAAAGCUGGUACAACCACUAUGGAGAACAGUUUGGAGAUACCUUAGAAAUCUAUACAUAGAACUACCAUAUGUCCCAGCAGUCCCACUCUUGGGCACAUAUCCGAACAAAAUGUUCCUUGAAAAAGACACAUGCACCCACAUGUUCAUUGCACCCCUAUUCACAAUAGCCAAGACAUGGAAACAACCCAAAUGUCCACUGACAGAUGAUUGUAUUAGGAAGAUGUGGUAUAUAUACACAAUGGAAUACUACUCAGCCAUAAAAAUGAAUGAAAUAAUGCCAUUUGCAGCAACAUGAGUGGAACUAGGGACUCUCAUACUGAGUGAAAUAAGUCAGAAAGAGAAAGACAAAUACCAUAUGAUAGCACUUAUAUCUGGAAUCUAAUAUAAGACACAAAUGAACCUUUCCACAGAAAAUAAAAUCAUGGACUUGGAGGAUAAACUCGUGGUUGCCAAGGGGGAGGGGAGGGAGCAGGAUGGUUGGGGAGUUUGGGCUUAAUAGAUGCCAAUUAUUGCCUUUGGAAUGGAUUAGCAAUGAGAUCCUGCUGUGUAGCACUGGGAACUAUGUCUGGUCACUUAUGAUAGAGCAUGAUAAUAUGUAAAAAUAGAAUGUGUACAUGUAUGUGUAACUGAGUCACCAUGUUGUACAGUAGAAAAAAAAUUGUAUUGAGGAAAUAACUAUUAAAAAAAGAAUAACAACAAAUUUUUGUUUAAAUGCUUAAUAGCUUUUAAAAGUUCUAAAUGGUAUGUUUCUAAUGAAAAUGAACAAAAUGCAUGAGAAUUUCCCUUUCCCUCAAUUAUGACUUACUCUUUAUAAAUUAGCCAUCUAAAAAGAUUCUUUUUAGGUUUUUUUUUUUUUUUUUUUUUUUUUUUUUUUUUUUUGCUUUUUAGGGCCUUACCUGCAGCAUGUGGAGGUUCCCAGUCUAGGGGUUCUAAUCGGAACUAUAGCUGCAGGCCUGCACCACAGCCACAGCCACACGAGAUCCGAGCUACAUCUGGAACUUACACCACAGCUUACAGCAACGCCAUAUCCUUAGCUCACUGAGCGAGGUCAGGGAUUGAACCUGCAACCUCAUGGUUCUAGUCGGAUUCAUUUCCACUGCGCCACAGUGGGAAUUCUCAUCUUUUUAGUUUUAAUGCAUCAAAAGCUUUCUAAAAUAUAGAUGACAGCUCUCAUUAUUCAGGAAAGGUGUUAAAAUAAUUCAGUGUGUUUGCUAUGGGCACGUGUUAUGAAUCAUUUAAGUAUCGAAAUGCUAAGAGGAAGAUUUUCAAAUUAAGGAAUAUCCAAAAUCGAAUAUGUGGACACCCUGCCAUUUUAUGUAGAGGAACUCUGUACCGUGUGUCAGAGUGAUCUCCAAGCGGGUAGAGAUUUGAUGCCAAAAGAUUUGCUUUAUCUGAAGUAAAGUGAUAUAUUUUCUUUCUGCAAUCCUGGUAGUUGUUUGCUUUUAUAACCCUGAAUUCUGUUGAGGACAGUGACUGAUGAAAGUGCAUCUUUUUUUGAGGUGGGCAUUCAGAGGUAACUUGCACAGCUGUUUUCUGACUGAGUUAACAGGGUUGAGCUUUGAUAUUCUCAGUCUGCAGGGCAAGCUCUAUGUGUUCUGCUCUCGCUCAUCAAGGGAGCCACACAAGCCCAAUGAGGUCCCAAAUGUCUGGGGCUCUACGUAGUUCAUCGCUAAUUACAAAGGAGUAACAGAAGAAUAUGGGAAUCUAUAUUCUUGUCAUUUCACAGAUUUGCAUACCAUAUGACAUUUGAGAUGAUAUGAAAGCAAAAUAAUGACUUAAAAUUUAAAAAAUGGAAGUGUUUUCUCUAUGCCCACAUUGUAUUAAUUCCAGCAGUGAAAUUAGCUCCAUAGUAAUAUUCAGGGUUCAUUUGUCAUUAGUGUGGUAUAUAGUUGCCUGUGCUUGCCACAUAUGCACCUUCUCUUAGUCCUCACCUAUAAUCUCGGGGGAUUCAAUCUAUCCAACCAAAGUGAAAAAAUCUCUUUGAUUGAGAUUGUCAAAGAUUCUCCAUGUUAUGCCAGCAUUUGGGGGGAUUGGAAUGUUUCUGAUUUUCACUCAAAAAGCACUUCCUUCAAGUGGUCAGAACUUCCAGAAGUACUUAUCACUUUCCAGUUUUCCUGGAUGCAUACCCUAAUGUAAGAAAUAUAUUACAUUUGGAAAAUAAUUGUUAAAUAUGAUGACUUGGUGAGAUAGUUCAAAUUAAAAACUAAAAGUCAGAUCUGGAAAUGGACUUCUCAGAAAAACCCAGAGACUAGAAAUAUUUUAGUUGAUUCAAAAUUUUUUGAAGCUUAUCAUUAAUGUCGACAGUAUUAUGGAUGGGUUAAUCUAUUUAGUAAAUACCAAUGAUCAUGUAUACUUAUCAAAAAAUUAAGUACUUACUAAAUGAGUAAAAAAUAUGAAUAAUAAUUUUAGAGAUGAAGGAAAAUUAUGGUUUUUAAUAGCACAGAACUCCUGUCUCUAAAACUGACCAAGAAGUAUUUCUUAAAAACAGAACUAGCUACAUAAGUAUCAAACUGUCUUACCAAUCACAUUUAAUCCAGAAGUAUCUAACCUUAUAUAACAACAGAAUGCCAUAUUGAAAAUUCAGGUAAAUGGUCAGUGAAAAGUAAACCAUACCUUGUAAGUAUUGGGAGGUAUUUUUGAGGAUUCAGAAUAAUGUCCCUUAAUCAAAAUAAAUGGACCAGAAUCCAUGUAGUGACAUUUCUUAGCAUUGCUCUUACUGGUGCACAAACUUUUGCUUCUUGUACUUUUACUACACACUUAUCUAGUGGUCUUGCAAAGGAAUCCCCCCCGCCCCCUGCCAAAAAAAAAAAAA
rnacentral:lncRNA from 1 species